GGCCCGGGAGCGCCGCCAGGGCGUCCGGUCCCACGACGACCGGGAGGCACGGACCGUCAGGGUCGAUCACGAGCUGCCAGGGCUCGCCGGGCCGC
rnacentral:tRNA from 1 species